rnacentral:rRNA from 1 species
UGGGGAAUAUUGGACAAUGGGCGCAAGCCUGAUCCAGCAAUGCCGCGUGUGUGAAGAAGGCCUUCGGGUUGUAAAGCACUUUUAUCUGGAGCGAAAUCUGCAGGGCUAAUACGCAUGCAGUCUGACGGUACCAGAGGAAUAAGCACCGGCUAACUUCGUGCCAGCAGCCGCGGUAAUACGAAGGGUGCAAGCGUUACUCGGAAUUACUGGGCGUAAAGCGUGCGUAGGUGGUUUGUUAAGUCUGCUGUGAAAGCCCCGGGCUCAACCUGGGAAUUGCAGUGCGUACUGGGAAGCUAGAGUACGGUAGAGGGUAGUGGAAUUCCCUGUGUAGCGGUGAAAUGCGGAGAGAUCGGAAGGAACACCAGUGGCGAAGGCGGCUACAUGGACUAGCACUGUCACUGAGGCACGAAAGCGUGGGGAGCAAACA